rnacentral:rRNA from 1 species
GAUGAACGCUGGCGGCGUGCUUAACACAUGCAAGUCGAACGAUGAAGCCCAGCUUGCUGGGUGGGUUCGUGGCGAAAGGGUGAGUAACACGUGAGUAACCUGCCCUUGACACUGGGAUAAGACUGGGAAACUGGGUCUAAUACUGGAUAUGACUUCUCAUCGCAUGGUGGGGGGUGGGAAGAUUUAUUGGUCUUGGAUGGACUCGCGGCCUAUCAGCUUGUUGGUGGGGUAAUGGCUCACCAAGGCGACGACGGGUAGCCGGCCUGAGAGGGUGACCGGCCACACUGGGACUGAGACACGGCCCAGACUCCUACGGGAGGCAGCAGUGGGGAAUAUUGCACAAUGGGCGGAAGCCUGAUGCAGCGACGCCGCGUGAGGGAUGACGGCCUUCGGGUUGUAAACCUCUUUCAGUAGGGAAGAAGCGAGAGUGACGGUAACGGCAGAAGAAGCGCCGGCUAACUACGUG